rnacentral:rRNA from 1 species
GGGUGAGUAAUACAUCGGAACGUGCCCAGUAAUGGGGGAUAGCUCGGCGAAAGCCGGAUUAAUACCGCAUACGCCCUGAGGGGGAAAGUGGGGGACCGCAAGGCCUCACGUUAUUGGAGCGGCCGAUGGCUGAUUAGCUAGUUGGUAGGGUAAAGGCCUACCAAGGCGACGAUCAGUAGCUGGUCUGAGAGGACGAUCAGCCACACUGGGACUGAGACACGGCCCAGACUCCUACGGGAGGCAGCAGUGGGGAAUUUUGGACAAUGGGGGAAACCCUGAUCCAGCAAUGCCGCGUGUGCGAAGAAGGCCUUCGGGUUGUAAAGCACUUUUGUCAGGGAAGAAAUCCUUUGGGCUAAUACCCUAGGGGGAUGACGGUACCUGAAGAAUAAGCACCGGCUAACUACGUGCCAGCAGCCGCGGUAAUACGUAGGGUGCAAGCGUUAAUCGGAAUUACUGGGCGUAAAGCGUGCGCAGGCGGUUGUGUAAGACAGGUGUGAAAUCCCCGGGCUUAACCUGGGAAUUGCAUUUGUGACUGCACGACUAGAGUGUGUCAGAGGGGGGUGGAAU